CCUCCGGAACGAAUUAAGUUCUUCACCAGAGGUACCACUGUAAUCUGUAAAUCAGAUGGUUUUGAGGAAGCUUGUGGACGAACUCAUGGCCGGAAGCUUGUGCAACCUGAGACCACCUGGGGAGGUCACUUCGCCACUUUUUGAGGGCUCCCCAGUGGCAUACCGAAGAGCUUGCUUGGUAAGGUAUAUAAUGCUUGCUGUUUAGAAUAAAAUCUUUAAUCUUCUC